AUUGAACGCUGGCGGCAUGCCUUACACAUGCAAGUCGAACGGCAGCACGGGUGCUUGCACCUGGUGGCGAGUGGCGAACGGGUGAGUAAUACAUCGGAACGUACCUUAUCGUGGGGGAUAACGCAGCGAAAGCUGUGCUAAUACCGCAUACGCCCUGAGGGGGAAAGCGGGGGAUCGAAAGACCUCGCGCGAUUAGAGCGGCCGAUGUCGGAGUAGCUUGUUGGUGAGGUAAAAGCUCACCAAGGCGAUGAUCAGUAGCGGGUCUGAGAGGACGAUCAGCCACACUGGGACUGGGACACGGCCCAGACUCCUACGGGAGGCAGCAGUGGGGAAUUUUGGACAAUGGGGGCAACCCUGAUCCAGCAAUGCCGCGUGAGUGAAGAAGGCCUUCGGGUUGUAAAGCUCUUUUGUCAGGGAAGAAACAGCAGCUCUAACACAGUCUGCGAAUGACGGUACCUGAAGAAUAAGCACCGGCUAACUACGUGCCAGCCGCCGCGGUAA
rnacentral:rRNA from 1 species